ACAACAUUCGGACCGUCGGUCUACCGAGCAAGAUCACCCACUCGGUGGAGGAUCUUCUCUUUGACGC
rnacentral:pre_miRNA from 1 species